rnacentral:rRNA from 1 species
AAUCAACGCUGGCGGCGUGCCUCAGACAUGCAAGUCGAACGAUUAAAGCUCCCUUCGGGGAGUGCAUAAAGUGGCGCACGGGUGAGUAACACGUAAGUAAUCUACCCUCGGGUGGGGAAUAACGUCCGGAAACGGACGCUAAUACCGCAUAAUGCAGCGGCACCGCAAGGUGACAGUUGUUAAAGAUUUAUUGCCUGGGGAGGAGCUUGCGGCAGAUUAGCUAGUUGGUAAGGACGGCUUACCAAGGCUACGAUCUGUAUCCGGUCUAAGAGGACGGUCGGACACACUGACACUGAAUAACGGGUCAGACUCCUACGGGAGGCAGCAGUCGGGAAUUUUGGGCAAUGGGGGAAACCCUGACCCAGCAACGCCGCGUGAAGGAUGAAGUAUUUCGGUAUGUAAACUUCGAAAGAAUAGGAAGAAUUAAUGACGGUACUAUUUAUAAGGUCCGCUAACUACGUGCCAG